rnacentral:rRNA from 1 species
GACGAAUGCUGGCUGCGUGCUUAACACAUGCAAGUCGAACGGUGGACCAGGGCUUGCCCUGGGGAUCAGUGGCGAACGGGUGAGUAACACGUGGGCAACCUGCCCCUCACUCUGGGAUAACUCCGGGAAACCGGGGCUAAUACCGGAUAUGACCUGGUGCGACAUCACACCAGGUGGAAAGAAUUUCGGUGAGGGAUGGGCCCGCGGCCUAUCAGCUAGUUGGUGGGGUAACGGCCCACCAAGGCGACGACGGGUAGCCGGCCUGAGAGGGCGGCCGGCCACACUGGGACUGAGACACGGCCCAGACUCCUACGGGAGGCAGCAGUGGGGAAUCUUGCGCAAUGGGGGCAACCCUGACGCAGCCAUGCCGCGUGAAUGAUGAAGGCCUUAGGGUUGUAAAGUUCUUUUGCCCGUGACGAUGAUGACGGUAACGGGAGAAUAAGCUCCGGCUAACUUCGUGCCAGCCGCCGCCGUAAGAC